rnacentral:rRNA from 1 species
AUUGAACGCUGGCGGCAGGCCUAACACAUGCCAGUCGAACGGUAACAGGAAGCAGCUUGCUGCUUCGCUGACGAGUGGCGGACGGGUGAGUAAUGUCUGGGAAACUGCCUGAUGGAGGGGGAUAACUACUGGAAACGGUAGCUAAUACCGCAUAACGUCGCAAGACCAAAGAGGGGGACCUUAGGGCCUCUUGCCAUCGGAUGCGCCCAGAUGGGAUUAGCUAGUAGGUGGGGUAACGGCUCACCUAGGCGACGAUCCCUAGCUGGUCUGAGAGGAUGACCAGCCACACUGGAACUGAGACACGGUCCAGACUCCUACGGGAGGCAGCAGUGGGGAAUAUUGCACAAUGGGCGCAAGCCUGAUGCAGCCAUGCCGCGUGUAUGAAGAAGGCCUUCGGGUUGUAAAGUACUUUCAGCGGGGAGGAAGGGAGUAAAGUUAAUACCUUUGCUCAUUGACGUUACCCGCAGAAGAAGCACCGGCUAACUCCGUG